AAGUUUAUGCGUGCUUCCGGUCCGCGAGCCCUGAGAGCUAACUUGGGGUCUUUUCCCAAGGUGGAUGUAGAAGCGGGCUCCGGCGUCCCACUCUCCCUUCCAUAUGGGCUUAGCGUCUGGGUCACUGAGAACGACGUCUGAAUAGGGCCCUGGGUCCUUGCCAUGGAUGAAUGUGGUUCCCGCAUCCGCCGGCGGGUGUCUCUCCCCAAAAGGAACCGUCCAAGCCUGGGGUGUAUUUUUGGCGCUCCCACCGCGGCCGAGCUCGAGCCCGGAGAUGAGGGGAAAGAGGAGGAGGAAAUGGUGGCUGAGAACAGGAGGCGGAAAACCGCGGGCGUACUGCCGGUUGAGCCUAAUGACAGUGAAGUGGACAUGUUUGGUGACUAUGAUAGCUUUACAGAAAACUCCUUUAUAGCUCAAGUUGACGACCUGGAACAAAAAUAUAUGCAACUCCCUGAACAUAGGAAACAUGCUACAGACUUUGCCACUGAAAAUCUUUGCUCGGAAAGUAUCAAAAACAAACUCAGCAUUACUACCAUAGGCAACCUUACUGAAUUACAAACUGAUAAGCACACAG
rnacentral:sRNA from 1 species